GCACCGCUGAUGAGACCCAACNACCAGGUCGAAACAGCUGUCCAGUGC
rnacentral:hammerhead_ribozyme from 1 species